GAACCACCUGAUCCCAUCCCGAACUCAGCAGUGAAACGAUGCAUCGCCGAUGGUAGUGUGGGGUUUCCCCAUGUGAGAGUAGGUCAUCGUCAAGA
rnacentral:rRNA from 1 species